rnacentral:tRNA from 1 species
UCCCUGGUGGCUCAGAGGGUAAAGCGUCUGCCUGCAACGCGGGAGACCCGGGUUCGAUCCCUGAGUCAGGAA